GACGAACCGUGCGAACGUUGUUCGGAAUCACUGGGCUUAAAGGGCGCGUAGGCGGGCUGCCGCGUCCGGGGUGAAAUCCUCCCGCUCAACGGGAGAACGGCCUCGGAUACGGGCGGCCUCGAGGGGGGGGUAGGGGCAUCUGGAACUGUGAGUGGAGCGGUGAAAUGCGUUGAUAUUCACAGGAACUCCGGUGGCGAAGGCGAGGUGCUGGACCCCAUCUGACGCUGAGGCGCGAAAGCCAGGGGAGCGGAACGGGAUUAAGAUGACCCUAGUAAC
rnacentral:rRNA from 1 species